rnacentral:lncRNA from 1 species
UCAAUAUUUGACACCAAUUUGACAAUUGACAGAUUAUCUUGUAAAUAAAUAAAUCUAAAUAGUUAUCCUAACAAAACAAAGUCGGGAACAAUGGAUAAAAGCCAGAAGGAGAACAAAACUAAAAUUAAAAUAUGAAAGAAUAUGCAAUAAACAUUGUGUAAGUGAAAAGCCAGCCACUUUAAAAAGAUGUUCCAAACCAAAACAUGAGUUACCAAAGCAGGCAAUAAAAAGAAAAGGUGCUCUAGAAUGCAAGAAAAGAGCUGAUGAAAGAAGUAAAUGUAAAGAAAA